rnacentral:rRNA from 1 species
UACGAAGGGGGCUAGCGUUGCUCGGAAUGACUGGGCGUAAAGGGCGCGUAGGCGGCUUGUAUAGUCGGAUGUGAAAUCCCGAGGCUCAACCUCGGGUCUGCAGUCGAUACGGGCGGACUGGAGUACUGCAGGGGAGACUGGAAUUCCUGGUGUAGCGGUGAAAUGCGCAGAUAUCAGGAGGAACACCAAUGGCGAAGGCAGCUCACUGGGACGGUAUUGACGCUGAGACGCGAAAGCGUGGGGAGCAAACAGG